UUCGAGUGGCGACGGGUGAGUAACGCGUGGGUAACCUGCCUUACACAGGGGGAUAACACCUGGAAACAGGUGCUAAUACCGCAUAAGCGCACAGGGCCGCAUGGCCCGGUGUGAAAAACUCCGGUGGUGUAAGAUGGACCCGCGUCUGAUUAGCUUGUUGGCGGGUAGGGGCCCACCAAGGCGACGAUCAGUAGCCGGCCUGAGAGGGUGGACGGCCACAUUGGGACUGAGACACGGCCCAAACUCCUACGGAAGGCAGCAG
rnacentral:rRNA from 1 species